rnacentral:rRNA from 1 species
CUACGGGCGGCUCCAGGCGCGAAACCUUUACAAUGCACGCAAGUGUGAUAAGGGGAUCCUAAGUGCUUAUACAAUGUAUAGGCUUUUGUUAAGAGUAAAUAUCUUAGCGAAUAAGUGGUGGGUAAGACUGGUGCCAGCCGCCGCGGUAACACCAGCGCCACGAGUGGCAACCGCGUUUAUUGGGCCUAAAGCGUCCGUAGCCGGUUUGGCAAAUCUCUUGUGAAAUCGUCAGGCUUAACCUGACGGCGUGCUUGAGACACUACCUUACUAGAGACCGGGAGGGGUCAGAGGUAUUCCAGGGGGAGCGGUAAAAUGUGAUAAUCCCUGGAGGAUCACCUAUGGCGAAGGCAUCUGACCAGCACGGAUCUGACGGUGAGGGACGAAGGCUAGGGGAGCGAUCCGGAUUAGAUACCCCAGUAGUC